rnacentral:rRNA from 1 species
GACGAACGCUGGCGGCGUGCCUAACACAUGCAAGUCGAACGAAGUAAGUUGCUUCACCAAGUGUUGAAUAGCUACCCCCAAGCGCAUUUGCCAAAGGGUAAGCAAAAAGUACUAUCAAUUAAAUAAAAUGGUGAAACAAAAGAAUAGCGAAGAAGAAGCAAAUGCGCUUCACGCUAAUUCCAAGUACCAACACAAAACAAAUUCAAUGUUUGGUGAAGCAACUUGCUUAGUGGCGGACGGGUGAGUAACGCGUGAACAAUCUGCCCCGUACAAAGGGAUAGCCUCGGGAAACCGGGAUUAAAACCAUAUAACACUUAACUGCCGCAUGGUAGUGAAGUCAAAUCGAGUAAGAGGUAUGGGAUGAGUUCGCGUCUGAUUAGCUAGUUGGUGAGGUAAGGGCGUCACCAAGGCGACGAUCAGUAGCGGCCUGAGAGGGUGAACGGCCACACUGGAACUGAGACACGGUCCAGACUCCUACGGGAGGCAGCAGUGGGGAAUAUUGCACAAUGGA